rnacentral:rRNA from 1 species
UACGUAGGGGGCAAGCGUUGUCCGGAAUCAUUGGGCGUAAAGAGCGUGUAGGCGGCCCGGUAAGUCCGCUGUGAAAGUCCAGGGCUCAACCCUGGGAUGCCGGUGGAUACUGAAGAUCUUGAGUUCGGGAGAGGUGAGUGGAACUGCGAGUGUAGAGGUGAAAUUCGUAGAUAUUCGCAAGAACACCAGUGGCGAAGGCGGCUCACUGGCCCGGAACUGACGCUGAGACGCGAAAGCGUGGGGAGCAAACAGG